AUGCUGCCUCAAUUAUGGAAGACCUAUAAUAGUUUCUUCUUUUUAAUAGAUGCAUUUAGAGGCUAUGAAGUUUUCUUUAGUGUGCCUUUAUCUGAAUCCAUCCACAUACAACCACCAUCAGAUCUCAGGACACCUCUGUCCAGGGGACAUGGGUGGUGCCUCACACACAGGAGCAGUGGUGGCUGGGCUCAUGGUUUGAUGGACUGGCACUGCAGUGCUGAAACCUCUUGAUGUCUUUGGGAGAGCUGGUGGUACCAUGAGGAGCUGAUAGAUGCCUCACAUAGAAAUGAAUUUACUGCGCUGCUUUUAGCUGAAUGUGUUUCCUGAGGCCUGUUUUCCCUGCUGUGGAAAUACUGCACUCGGCUGAUACAAAGACCUUCUCAUCGGAUAUGCCUUGUAGUUACUGAUAACACCAGUUGCAUGAACAACCUGAAUGUUUGAACUGGCCUGAUAAUCACCACACUUCAGUAUCCUUGGGCAGAAUGCCUCCCAAUGGACAGUAACGUGAAACAGGUGAAAGCAGAUUUUUAUUUUCUAAAUAAAUCCAAUUGAGUCACUAACA
rnacentral:lncRNA from 1 species